GCAGGGGUGGCUCAGUGGUUGAGGUUCUGGUUUACUGAUCAGAAGGUUGGGGGUUCAAGCCCCAGCACUAUCA